GGUGUAGCUCAGCUUGGCUAGAGCGCCUGGUUUGGGACCAGGAGGUCGCAGGUUCGAAUCCUGUCACC
rnacentral:tRNA from 1 species